GACGAACGCUGGCGGCGUGCUUAACACAUGCAAGUCGAACGGAAAGGCCCUGCUUUUGUGGGGUGCUCGAGUGGCGAACGGGUGAGUAACACGUGAGUAACCUGCCCUUGACUUUGGGAUAACUUCAGGAAACUGGGGCUAAUACCGGAUAGGAGCUCCUGCUGCAUGGUGGGGGUUGGAAAGUUUCGGCGGUUGGGGAUGGACUCGCGGCUUAUCAGCGUGUUGGUGGGGUAGUGGCUUACCAAGGCUUUGACGGGUAGCCGGCCUGAGAGGGUGACCGGCCACAUUGGGACUGAGAUACGGCCCAGACUCCUACGGGGGGCAGAAGUGGGGAAUAUUGCACAAUGGGCGGAAGCCUGAUGCAGCAACGCCGCGUGCGGGAUGACGGCCUUCGGGUUGUAAACCGCUUUCGCCUGUGACGAAGCGUGAGUGACGGUAAUGUGUAAAGAAGCACCGGCUAACUACGUG
rnacentral:rRNA from 1 species